ensembl:snRNA U6 U6 spliceosomal RNA
GUGCUCACUUCGGCAGCUCGUAUGCUAAUGCUGGAACAAUAGAGAAGAUUAGCAUGGCCCUUGCACAAGAUUAGCAUGCAUAUUCAUGAAACACUCCAUAUUUUU